GCCACUCCCAGAACCCCUGGAACUCUGGCCCAAGGCUCUCUGACUCCUUCCCAGAUCUUCUUGGCUUAGCGGCUGAAGACUGACGCUGCCCAGUCGCCUCGGAAGCCCCCCUACGUCAUGGACGCUGAGCUUCAGAUAACUCUCACAGUGGAAGUUUGGUCCAGAGAGCUGCCUUAGACUCCCCAGUAAAUCUAUUCAAACAGCUGCCUCUGUUACCUUGACUCGUCUCAGAUGUCAUCGACCUGAGAUGGCUCCUGGCGCAAGGAAGGGCAUUCCAGAGUCAACCUAAAAAUCAAGUUCAGGCCAUGAUGGAGGAGACGGAGUUGGACAUCCCUCAUUAUUCCCUACUGCCUUUUGGAACUCAGGAAAAGCUGAUCAGCAUUAACAUCAACACAGACCUUAGUCUGAUAAGAAGCAUUUAUAAUCUAUUGUCUCUGAAACUUGCUAUUUGGUGGCUUCGUCUGCAUCAUAAAACUAUCUCCAAAAACCCUCAUUUUAACCUAGACAUUCUUUUCUAUUGAUAUAACUCUUUCAACCAAUUGCCAAUCAGAAAAGUUUUAAAUCUGUUUAUGACCUGGAAGCCCCCACUUUGAAUUGUUCCACACUUCCAGAUCAAGCCAAUGUAAAUCUUAUAUGCAUUGAUUGAUGCAUUAUGUCUCCCUAAAAUGUACAAAAAGCUAGCUGUACCCUGACCCCAUUGGGCACAUGUCAUCAGGACCUCCUGAGGCUGUUUCACAGGCAUGUCUUUAACCUUGGUAAAAUAAACUUU